ensembl:lncRNA
GUGGUCUUAUUAGCCAGCUAGCAUUACAUAGUUACGACCCAAUCACUGAAUGUCAUUAUCGUCUAUCUUUCGUGUUUUUUUUCGCAGGAAACUGUGAAAUUAGCUAAACGGCUAACCCCGAUCAGUAAUGAUAGCUUGAUGUCGAGACUAGCUAGACUACAAUUUCACUAUUGUUCUCACAUAGAUAGCCAUAGAGGAAGAAACUGAUGGAGACAGCCUGAAUCCCAGAAACAAAGGAUUGUGCUGUAACUGUGCUUCCUCAAAUUAAUUGAGGGGGUACCGUAGAAGUUGAAGGUUUUGGUUAAAUCAUUUUGUUUAUGGUUAUGCUGCAACUGAUUUGAAUUGAGGAAUGCUUACAUUUAUUCACGGUCUACAUUUUCUAAUAUACCUGAAGUGAUAAGCGAUGUGGCACAGAGGGAGGGUCACACACUGCACUACACUACAAGAUUCUUCAAAACAAAAUUGGAUUUGCCUUAUGUUGCUUCAGACAGAGAAAGACUCCAGCGAAGAGGAGACAGAUAAUGAUGAAGAAAGGAGUAGGACGAGGUUGAGGUGUUACCAAUUGCGAUAGGGAGAGCCCAGAUGACGAGCCUAGCGAGCUGGGAGCUGUCAUUACUGCAACCCCCGAAACGCUUCCCUUCCUGGUCUAUCUUCACUGCUCUCCACAGCAUCUCCUUGAUAGGUAAUUCCGGCGUACACUACAUUACUUUUAAAAUCUUUCCUGUAAUUCUUUUUGCCUUGCCAACAUAGUGUUGCCACUCUAAACGAUGUGGCA